GCUGGCGUAGCUCAGUUGGCAGAGCCCGGCAUUCGUAACGCCGUUGUCGCCGGUUCGAUUCCGGCCGCCAGCUCCA
rnacentral:tRNA from 1 species